rfam:Triticum aestivum genome assembly, contig: Triticum_aestivum_CS42_TGACv1_scaffold_194040_3AL
UAUAUACUUCCUCCGUCCCAAAAUUUUUAUCUUAAAUUUAUCUAGAUAUAAAUGUAUCUAAUACUAAAACAUGACUUGAUACAUCCGUAUUUAGACAAAUCUAAGACAGGAAUGUUCGGACGGAGAGAGUACUUA